rnacentral:tRNA from 1 species
AAGAUUGUAGUUUAUUAAAAAUAUUAGAUUGUAAAUCUAAAGAUUAAAGUCUUG